rnacentral:rRNA from 1 species
CUGUUGAAGAUAGCCAUGCACGUCUAAGUACAAACUAAAUGAUGGUGAAACUGCAAAUGGCUCAUUACAACGGUUAUGAUGUACCCGGGAGUUCCGAUGGAUAUUUCCAGUAACACUAGAACUAAUACAUGUCCCUGCGUUUAUUAGUUUCGCACAGUCCGUCGCUGAGUCAUGGUAAACAGUUGAUCGACUCGACGUCCCGGAACAGUUUCCGCCCCAUCAGCUUCGAUGGUUGGGUAUUGGCCUACCAUUGCAACAACGGGUAACGAGGAAUUAGGGUUUGAUUUCGGAGAGGGAGCCUGAGAAACGGCUACCACAUCUACGGAUGGCAGCAGGCGCGCAAAUUACCCAAUGCAGACACUGUGAGGUAGUGACGAGAAAUAAUAAAGCGGGACUUCUGUUUCGCUAUUAUAAUGAGGAAUAACCAAAGGUCAUUCCGAUUAGCAACUGAUGGGAAAGUCUGGUGCCAGCAGCCGCGGUAAUACCAGCGUCAGUAGCAU